AUUGAACUCUGGCGGCAUGCCUAACACAUGCAAGUCGAACGAGUGGCGGACGGGUGAGUAAUAUCUCGGAACCUGCCUGAUAGAGGGGGAUAACUACUUGAAACGGUGGCUAAUCCCGCAUACCAUCAGAUGGGCCCAUAUGGGAUUAGCUAGUUGGUGGGGUAAAGGCUCACCAAGGCGACGAUCCCUAGCCGGUCUGAGAGGGUGACCGGCCACACUGGAACUGAGACACGGCCCAGACUCCUACGGGAGGCAGCAGUGGGGAAUAUUGGACAAUGGGCGAAAGCCUGAUCCAGCAACGCCGCGUGAAUGAAGAAGGCUUUCGGGUUGUAAAGUACUGUUAGUAGAGAAGCGUUAUCUAAAGAGAAAGCACCGGCUAACUACGUGCCAGCAGCCGCGGUAAUAC
rnacentral:rRNA from 1 species